UCCAGAAAAAAAAAAAAAACAAAAAACAAAAAACAAAAAACAAAAGCAAAAACAAAAAAAAGAGUAGAAUGUGCCCACUUCUCAUAGAAUAGUAAGUAAAGGCUACAUAAUAAGGAAUUCACUGAACUUUCACAAUUUUACCAAAAAGAGAAAUAGGCUUGGGACAAAUUUAUCAUCAAGGAAAAACAUUCAUUCUAGGUCAGAUCCAAGGAUGAAGCCACAGGUGUCUGUCAUGAAAAACGGUUGCUUUGAACUUAUAAGAAGCUUAUAGAAUGAAACACUGCUCUGAACUUAAUAUCAGUAACUCCCCUUUUAUAUAACAAUUACUGACGAGAUAAUUUUCUAAGGAAGUUUUGUCUAAGAAGAUAGAUAUAAGAAGACUGGAGAGAAGUAAUAAAGGGUGGUGGAUGGGUCAGAGUCCCAGAUGAUAGUGUGUAUAUGUAUUUGUCUGUUUUUCUAUAUAGACAUAUGUAAGUAAUGAACACUUUUGGAAACAGAUGGCUGGACCUGAAGAGUGUGUGUGUGUGUGUGUGUGUGUGUGUGUGUGUGUGUGUGUGUGUGUGUGUGAAUGUGUACAUGUAUGUGACUGUGUAAAAGAUUUUAAUUAUUUCCUUCUUUUCUCUCUGGUUCAGAGUUAAUGAAUUCUGAGUCUCCUGAGGAGUGAGGGGCUGAGAGAGGAAGAAAAGAAAAACCAGUGCUUAUUUAAACACAAAUAGAGAAGUACGGAGUGGGAAACUAGCCCUUAUCAGCACAGAACAGUAAGAAAGAGUUAAGUUUCCAGGGGCGUCAGCUUCUGGCCCCCAGAACAGUAGGAGAGAGCAACAAGACCAUAGAUCAUCAGUCUUUGGCCUUUGUCCAACUCUGUGUCCCACCCUCAGUACUUGUGUUUCCAGGAAGGUCCACAGCAGUUCUAGGAAUCAGGUAAGAUGCAAAAAAUAGCUCUUUCCCUGAGCAAUGCAUAGCCCAUGGGUGAAGGCAAACAUACAAAUAUAGAUGAACUCUGCCAUGUGGAGAUAAAUGGUGGAGUAAUGCAUUCUGAAUCCACUGUGACACAAUAAUCACGACGACAUACCAGGAAUGAGGAACACCAUCCACAUUUUGACUGAGAUAUCACAUAGCUUUAUCAUAACAAUCCUCUGAGACAAGGACCAGGACUUUGGCUGUUGAAAGAAUUGGUGCAAAGCUGUCCAGUUAAUAACUAGAAGAACUGAAAUAUCAAGCCUAUGGCCGUGCCAAUAGCUAUACUGUACAGUCUUCCUGGAAAGAAAAUCUAUCAUGCACUGAACUCCUACAUGUGGAGCUCACUCAGUUAUACUCUUCCGGAACACAGAAAGGAGGACUUAGUAUCCUGUGCAUCCUGGAAUUGGAGUUACGAACAGUCAUGAACUGCAAAUGUGAGUGCUGGGAAUUGAACCCGGGUCUUCUACAUGAACAAGUGCUCUUAACUAUUGACUCAUCUCUCGUGCCCAGGAAGAAACAUUUAAGAAGGAAGAUCUACAGCUGUUUGCCAGAAGAGCUAUUAAAAAAAUCAUUAUGAAAAAAAAUGAAUGUCAAGAAAUAAUGCUAUAUAUUUUAAGAGUUUUCAAGUAUAUAGUUUUAUUUUCUUAA